CAGCCGCCACGGGAACACGUAGGGUGCAAGCGUUAAUCGGAAUUACUGGGCGUAAAGCGUGCGCAGGCGGUUUGUUAAGACAGAUGUGAAAUCCCCGGGCUCAACCUGGGAACUGCAUUUGUGACUGGCAAGCUAGAGUGUGGCAGAGGGGGGUGGAAUUCCGCGUGUAGCAGUGAAAUGCGUAGAUAUGCGGAGGAACACCGAUGGCGAAGGCAGCCCCCUGGGCCAACACUGACGCUCAUGCACGAAAGCGUGGGGAGCAAACAGGAUUAGAUACCCCAGUAGUCCCUGUCUCUUAUAC
rnacentral:rRNA from 1 species